rnacentral:lncRNA from 1 species
GUUCCACGAAUGCUGCUGCCAACCUUUUAUCUCUAUUCUUUUGCUGAUAAAUUUUAUAUAGAAAAUAGAAGACAACAAAUGACUGCAGUUCCAUUCUGUUUGGUCUAGACCUUUAUUUNNNNNNNNNNNNNNNAAAUCUUCAACUUUUAUGAUAAUAAAGAUGCAAACUUAUAAACAACUGAUUGCUCAUUAUUUCUUAGUAAAAUUUGAUGGAAUCAUGGAGUCAUUGGUUCAUCCCUUUAAAUAAUCUAACUGUUCACUCCCUUUUCUUUUACUUACAAAAAUUUACAUACUGCUCGAGCCUCUUCAUUGAGCCAACAAAGUUCUUCGAGGCAAUUUCAGAAAUCAUGAACUGGGAAUCAUUACAUAGAGAUUUGAUCUAACCUGCAUGUACUAUCUGUCCUUUUCUAUGUACAUCAUGUGCAAAUAAGCCCCUUUGGAAUUUUGUUCAGAACUUGUUUGAUGUGGUUGAGAGUUAGAUGGGGUUAGGUCUCUUAAUUUGUUUAGGAGUCCAUUUUGUUUCUUUUUGCUUUAUGUGACUUGUAAGAAAUCAGGACCAUUGAGGGUUGGUAUUUUGGGAUGCUUUUAAGUAACAUAUGGUAUUCUUUAAGAGAGUGUGGGAUCUCAUCUCAUUCUUUAGGAGCUUUCAGUGAGUUGUGACAAUUUUAUAGGAGGAAAGAGCAGUUCAGCUGAGGAAGAGAAAAGAAAUUACAAAUACAAAGAAAGAAGAGAAAAAGAGAGACUGAAGGAGGGAAAGAAAGCAAGAAAAAAAGGAGGAAAGAAAGGGGAUAAGAAUGGGAGGGGAAGGACAAAAAUUACGAGGACAAAAGAGAAUAGGUAGAGUAGGAGGAAAAUAAAGGGAAGAAAGGUGGCCGGUCUCAAUGUAGGAGAUCACUUAAAUGGUUGGUCGUACAAGGCCUUUUAACUUCAAAUUUUUCUUCUUUUAUCUUAAAUGAUGGACCUUACAUCACUUUCAGUAAUCUGCUAUAUAUAAUGCAAAAGUCUCGAUUCCAGUCAUGCAAGGCCUACCUAUAAGGCCUUCCGCAUUAUACAAAUGCCAUUCACUAUCUUAUUAAAAUAAAAAUUCUAUUCCCAGGUCUCAAAUCUCCAUAUAUGCUAUUUGUCAUUAUCUUUCCCUAUUUCCAUCUUUUCCCUUCCUCCUCCCUGAACACGAGAUGUAACCAUGGAAUCGCAGCAAUCCAUCAAAUGCUCUCCCUCUGUGUUCCUCCAUGCAUUCCACUGACCUAAUUAUGGAGUAAUUAGAGAGAUUUAUGGACAUUUUAGGUCCAAUAUCCUUAAGGAACAGGAUUUGUUUGGUUGGCUGUAGAAGUGGAAAUAGGGGAUUUUUUUCUAAUUCUGGUGGUGAUGGGAUAUUUAGGAGUUUCUGGUAAAUCUUCAUCUUUGUUAGUGGAUUAGGUUUCAGGGAUUGAGAAUUGACCCUUAUAUCCUAUCAUGGACUAGAACCAAAACGCUCAUCUGAUACCUUUAUCAUAUCUCAUAUCUGAUUUAACCCAUGACAAGAAGUUAUCAUCUUCAUAAACUCAUUAUAUAUGAAUAUGGACAAGAGACCAAAAACCAAGAAAUAUGCAUUCUUAAUUCACGGUGCAUUUUGCACCUGCUGUGUUACCAUCUAUAUGAUUUAAUCUAAUGCACAUGCAUGCUCAUGCUAAUAUUGUCACUGUCUGUUGCUAUGUAAUAGACUUGCUUGACAAUUAUCUUGGCUUGUGUUCUCUCAAUUUAGCAUUCCUUAUCGGCUCUAGGUCAAUUAAGCUUGUUAUUUCUCCUGUAAUCUUGAGUUAUUUGUUUAAGGACAUGUUUAAAGAAAGUGCAUAUGGCGGAACUGCCACAAUCAAUGGCUCAACCUCUGCAAGUGCAUUGCAUGUGACUUGGGCUAUGUUGUGUGGUUAUUGAUACUACCUUUUAUGUAAUACUUAGGUAUGUGGAGUUGUUAUUUUCUGAACUUUAGAAAGAUAGAAGUCAAUGCUAGAGCUAUGCAUAUUGAGGUUUCAUUUUUUCUUGUAUAUACAAAUUGGUUUAGAACAACUGUUUAUAUUCUUCCUAUGUAAUCAGAACUAUUUUUUAUUUUUAUUAAAUUUAAAUGUAUUAAUAAUCAAGAAAUUUGUAAAAUGCAUGUUAUAGAUUUUGCUAAAUUAUGACAUGAUUACUCCAUUAAAGAAAUAUGCCUUGUAGAAAAAUGAACCCUAGGUCAAAUUUAUUAACAUCUAAACAGUGUCUACAGUGUUUUCUAAACACUUUUUAGUGAUUAUUUUAGAUAGAGGGAGCAAAAGACUAUUGAAAACUAUGAGUUUUUUGAGAUUUGCUAAGCUUUUUUCCUAUUACAGAAUCAUGAUUGUUCAUGUGAUAGUUGCACUAUUGGUAUUUCAGCCAGGUAAAAGUAACAUAUGUUUAUUGUGGGAUUUGCUGACACGCUUUAGCCCAACGAUAUUCAGCAAAUAUUAUAGAUGUUUUUCAUGAACUUCUAAAGAGGAUGCACAGAACAUUACUUUCUAAGAAUAUCCAAUAUGUCUGUAUAAUUUCUUGAUGAACAGGUCUGAUGAAGCGUCUGAACUCAUGCUAGUUGCACUGGGUUCUCAUAGACAGAAUUGCUUCUAAUUUAUAGUUUUAUUAGUGGUGCAUAAAGUAGAUACAAAUACUUGAGCUUAUUCAAUAUUUAUUCUACAAACAGAUCAAUGAGCUAAGAGUUGCUAUCGGACCCUUGUCUGGACGUAGCAUACAGUACUGCACUGAUGCAUGCUUGAGGAGAUACUUGGAAGCUAGGAACUGGGAUGCUGAUAAGUCCAAAAAAAUGUUGGAAGAGACGCUUAAAUGGCGAUCGACUUACAAGCCGGAAGAAAUCCGCUGGGUAAGUUCUACUUUCUGGGACCAUCCUUCGCCAUUAAAUUGUUAGACGAGAAAUUAACGUAUUCACUACAAUUUUUAAUUCUUUCAGGAUGAAAUUGCUAGUGAAGGUGAAACUGGUAAAGUGUACAGAGCAAAUUUCCAUGAUCGAGAAGGAAGAACUGUUCUGGUGAUGAAACCAGCAAAACAGGUAUGCACUGAAUUUUUAUUUUCCUUACUGUUUCAUUCAAGGACCAGGGUUUUGAACAUGUCUCAUCUACAGAACACUGCAUCGCAUGACAAUCAACUCCGGCAUCUGGUAUAUCUCUUAGAGAAUGCGAUUCUCAAUUUGCCUGAGGGUCAAGAGCAAAUGUUGUGGCUGAUAGACUUCACUGGGUGGUCAUUAAGUAAUUCAGUCCCCACAAAGACUGCUCGAGAAACUGCAAACAUUUUGCAAAACCAUUAUCCUGAGAGGCUUACUGCUGCAUUUUUAUACAAUCCCCCAAGAAUCUUUGAAGCUUUUUGGAAGGUUUGAGUUCUUACAUCCUCUAAGCAAUCUAUAAGCAACUAUAGGAAAUUACACUUACAUGCACAUCUUCCUCAUCUAUUGUCUAUUACCUUGAAUACUACUUAGUUAAAAAGAUAAACCUGAAAAUGGAAAAAUGUAUGGAAUUGUUGUUUCAAAUCUCUUAAAUCCCAGGAUCGAUCGAAAUGUUUCAUGGGUAGCUUCAGUGCAUCACUGUCUCUUUUUUCUCUUUUCCUCAUAUACUGAAUAUAUAAAGCACUCACCGUCACUCUCUUUGUUAUAUGAUCUUCCUCUGACAUUGUUCUAUUCUCCCAUGCAGAUUGUCAAAUAUUUCCUGGACCCAAAAACAUUUCAAAAGGUAAAAUUUGUUUACCCAAAGAAGGAAGAAAGCAUGGAACUCUUUCGUAGGUACUUUGAUGUUGAGAUACUCCCUGUCGAGUUCGGAGGAAAGAGCAAAGUACAAUAUGACCAUGAAGAGUUCUCCAAGUUGAUGUUAAAGGAUGACAUCAAAUCAGCAAGCAUUUGGGGUUUGAUUGAAAAACCAGCCCAGGUCGACAAUGCAACCAAUGGGCACUCAACUUCUGAGGUCGCACCAGAACCAUCGGGUAUUGCUGCACAAGCAAGUUGAGCAAAAGCACCACUAGUAAUUCCCCUGCAGUAUAUAGCUACUUAGCACGAUGCGUAUCAUUUCUCAUUACCAUUAACAGCUUGACGGUAUUCUUCGGGUACCCACUUAUACUAUGGAUCUAGUUCUUUAUGUUUCAGUACAAAUUGUGCGAAGAGAUGUUUCUCUUUGCUUGAAAAACUAAUUUACUGCAGACAAACAACAAUUCUAAAGAGUACAUAAUGCAGAGGAACAUCGUUCUGGUGAUUCAGGAAAUUAUUCUCUUCACUUUUGUUUUGCAAUAUAUUAUGAUCAUUCCAAAAUCUAAUAAUGAAUAUCCAUGUUUCAUGAAUUAUGUUUUGGGAUGGCAAUUCUUGACACAACCUGUGUCGAUCUGACUUAAACAGCUUUGGGUUGGCUAUAACUAAACACGCCUGAGAACAAUAGGUCAGUCUGACCUAAUCUUGUAUUAAAUCGGUUGGCUUUAGGUUCAAGGAAUUGAUAUGACAAUCCUAAGACGACCCAUCUAUCAAAUGGGUAUUUUUCACUAAACUAGGGCCCAAAGCCAUAAAGAUUGAGGGCAUUUUAGUAAACUUAACAAGAGAGAGGAAAAACCAGGGCUAUCUUGCAACCAAAUUCCUCCUCUUAUCCAUGCUUCUAUCUACGGCCUCAUCUUCUCUUCCUCGCCUCUAGCCUGCCCCAUCACCCCCAUCCUAGGAAUGCCAUGGAUGAGCUAGAGUGGGUCUUCAAGAAGUUCGGCUUAAACAGGGAUGCUUGUCGUAUAAAUAGGUUAAACAAGGUGGGGUAGGUUACUAUUUAUUAAACAGAUCAGAAUUAGAUUCUAAUUUCUGACCUAUUUAGUAAACUGAAAAGGUUUAUGUUGAGUCUUUUUUUAUCUCAAUCUGUCUGACUUGACUUGUAUCCUUCCAACCCAAUUGAUAUCCUUAAUCAUGAUAAUAGGUGGAUGUUCUUUCUUGUUACCAUGAAACUAGUUUCCUCCGUGAACUGAAUUGCUUGAGUAAACUUCAUUAAUUUUCAACUAUUUAGCUUGCAAUAGGGAAGCUCUAAUAUUCACAUUUGAAUCCACAUUCAGCUAAUUUGCUCGGUACAAAACUUAGUUAUCAGUUCUGAGUGGAGGUUCCUUUAAGCCUAAUCAAGCAGGGGGGCAGCCAAAGUGGGUAUUCUCUUUCAAAAGGAGAUGCUUCUUUUUAUUUUGAUACGUUCGAGAUGAAUGACUUAGCUUGUAUUGGUUACAUAACCUUUCUGAAUUUAGAGCUAAUUUUAAUAUAUGAUUUGGACUCAUUAAUGGAUUUGAAGAGGACAUCCCAAAUCGGGUGCAGAUGCUUGCACAUAACUUCAUUUGGUUGAAGAACAUUAUGUCCAACCUGUGCAAAAGAAAGAACCAUCACCAAACCAUCUCAUGCUCUCAACUCCACUAAACAAAUUUUUUUUUUUUGCAUCGUGGAGCUCCGACAAGCUCUUCACAUUCGUCUCCCCCCUGUGGCUGGCAUUUAGCACUGAGAACAAACCAAGGGAUGUCUAAUAUAUGAUUCUCAAGAGUUAAAAGGCAUGGUUACAAGAAAAAGUACCUCUAUCCUGUUCAAUCACCUCUGCUUGCAAACAUUUAAAAUCCAUAAAAGAAAAACAAUUAAAUUAAUAUUAUACCCCGGGUCUAGUCCGUGGGUUCAGAUGAUUCAUAUGCAAAGGAAAGAGAUACUAGGAAAAAAACAAAUGCUGCCACAGAAUCUCAAAUGCUUUGGAACUUAUCGUUCAACAAAACAGGCUUCAGAAGCAUAAGCACAAGGAAAACUGUGUCAGCAACAAGUAGAAAGUUCCUGCUAUCUAAAAAUUUCACAGCAUGAAAGGUGCCAUUGAAGCAGAAUAAAGUUAGCUGCUUUAUGGAUGAGUGGAGCACGAGAGGAAAAAAAAAAUCCAAUUCUUGUGAUUAAUAUUGGUUGAGGCGGUAGUUUCAGAUCAGGAUCAGAAGAGUCGCCUUUUAAAAUUUCGAGUGGAGGCUUGAUACGCCCGGACCAACAAUCCAACACCAACUCCAAGUCCGAGGCAGAUGCCAAGGCCAAUCCCCACACCCACCCUCACACCAGCAUUGAACCAAGAGAGUUCCCCAUCCUGCCCUUCCAUAUAUUCAGCUCUUGAGUAGAUGCUGUUGUAGUCAACCGCUACAUCAUUUUCUUGUUGGUAGCCAUCAUAUUCAGUUAACUGCCACAGAAGAAGAGAUGGAUGUUAGUAUCUUGCAUGAGUGGUUAAUUAUGAGAGCAAAUGCAAGAAGAUGCAUUUGCUCCAAGUCAUAUUGGAAGAAUUUUCUUUUCUUUUCUUUUCUUUUUUUCAGAAAGAGAAUAAUGGAAGAAAUUAUAAACUAUAUAGGAGAAUUUUUUUAUCCAAGAUGCUAAACAAAUUUUUAUCCAAAUUCUUCAUACUGGAUACUAAAAUAAGCAUUCCAAGAACAAAUUCAAGUAAAGAACAUAAAAAUAAGUAAACGUUCAUUAAAAAAAGUCAUUUUUUAAAUGGAAAGUAAGGACUUGUUAAGCGACGCAGAAUUUCGUUACCAGAGAUGAAGUGUUGUCAGCUGCUGAGACAGCAUAUAUGAACAAGCACACCACUCCAUUAUGUUAAGAUCGACUCUAAUUCCAGAUCAAUGUUCAGACAAAAUUUCAGACAGACCCAUGCAUCUCGGUCCUUGCAGCCUUAUGUAAUGAAAUUCUACCAUUAUGAGCAAACAAAUGGAGAGAAAAGAUGGUUUGGAACAUAGAUAAUUCUGAGUAGGGUGUACAUUGCCAGGUUUGAGGGGAACUGUAUAAUGGCAACUUAAAAGCUACUUCUGACUAUCUUUGGUGCUUUAUUUAACUUAGUGGUUAAACUAGUGGGAUAAAACAUCUUUCUCAAAAGACUAGUGGGUGAAAACGAUAUAUCCACUGUCCACAGCUUGAACACAAUCAGGGGGCAUGCGAAAUUACAUUGUAUGUUCUUCAGCACGUCCACUAGAAACUAAUACGGUAUAUUAGUAAUAGGAACAUUGUGACAUAAAGGCCUUAUGGAUUAAGCAGUUAUAUAAGAUUCAAAUACCAAAGCCAAGGGACAAAGCAAAAACUACAAAAAAUGCUGACAUAUCUUCGCAACGGUCUCUAUACAUGAAAAGGGAACUUGAGAGGUAAUCUUGAGUCUAUCAUCUUAGUUCGUAUUGCUUUACUUGCUUUCAUAUUUUUUGUUUUUUCUUGGUUUUGGGGUGUAAAGGAUCUCCAAGGAUAGAAUUUUCCCUCGAGAGCCGGAUAUAUUUGAGUAUUUCCUCCUCAUCUCUAACGAAUUGUUAUUACUAAUAUAGCUAGUAGGGUCUUGUUCUUUUCCUCCCUCCCUUCCUCCUAGAAUGUUGGAGCUUGGGAUUUCUCCUAGUCCUUAUCCAGUUUCUGGAUAGCAAAGGAACACUAACAGAGGUUUGCCUUCCUUAAGUCUUCUCAUGUAUAUUAAUCUUUGUUCUAAAUCUUGUGUCUUGUUGAAUUCCUAUUGAAGAGACUAUAAUCUGUAGUCAUGCCUGGUCAGUGAUUGGAAAAUAUCAAUGGGAUUCAUGCUUGGACGGUGGCAAUAUCUAAGGUAGAAGGUUUCUGCAAUGAAUGCAAUGACAAGCAAUUAAUGUUUUUUUUUACAAUUCGUCUCUUUUUGAAGUCACAUAACUCCGCAGGGAUGACUGAGGAUAUGGAAUUCAUAUGAAUAUGCUCUCGCCAGAAGAAGGCAGUCCCAGAGGGAAUGCAAUCCUAGAGGAUUUUGCUAUCUAUCUGAAGUCCUCAAAGAUUACAUUCGAGAUAAUUAUUAGUAUUGAAUUAAAAGAAAACGGUGACUUGAUUCUUAAAUACCUAAAAAAUAAUAUCCCCAAGUCAUAUUGCACUUGUAUGGUUUCAUUCACAGCUUUUAUCACUUCAUAGACUUAAGGGCUGAAUGCAUGUGAUGCAAUUGCUGCAUUCUGCAGUAUAUACGGUUUAGGCAGUUGUUCCAGCAUGUUAAAAAACCCAACAGUUCCUUCAGAACAUUAUUAGAAAGUCUAACUAGACCACAUUUCAAUCUCAUGUUAUGAACAAAAUAAUCUAGAAUUAAGAUCAGAAAAGACAUAAAAAGGUGGCCAGGUAACGCAAAUGUCAAAAAAUUGGACUGCAUAGAGCUAAACAUAAAUGUCUAAUGUGUUUUCCUUUUUGUGCCACCUCUUGAAAUAAAUUUGAUGCGGAUACCAAGUUUUUAGCAUAAGCCAUGGUGCUAUGUCAAGAUUAAAAAAGUCAAUGGAAAAACAGGUUAUCUUCAACAGUCCUCUUAAAUACCAUGCUGACCAUAAUUUGUAUAUAUUGACUGAUUGUUUCUCUACUGUUUCAACUAUUCUAUGCACCUUCUAUUUAUCCCUCUCCAGAGCAGACAAACAGGAUAUAUUAUAAGUAAAAAAUCAGAACAUAUAUUGCAUGAACAUUGAUGCCAGGGACUCGUUAAAGUAUGAAUAUAAUGCCCUAUCAUUACUGUAAAAGUUAAAAAUAACAGCACUGUGAAACCUUUCCAGAUGUUGUCACAAUGGAUUGGAAGUUUUUGCCAAAACAUCAUAAUGCUCAGCUCAUUGAUCAGAUACUUCACAACAAAAUUAAAUACAUCAAAAUUAUUACAAUCAUUACAAUUUGGCAAAAUUGAGCAUGGUUUUAUUAUGGACAAAUCAAAUGCAAUUUCAGUCUCUUUAGACCAGAAAAGAACAUGAGUUCCCAUUUGUACAAAAUGCACCUUUUAAAAUAUAUAUUUAUCUGGAAAUUUAUUUAGCAAGAUAACCAAUUUUUUGAAGGAAUUAUACAGAGUCACAUAAAUUAUAGUCUUUAAUCUUGAUUGAUAUUAUUUAAAACUUGUUAUGUUAUCAGACAUAAUCUGCAAUUUAUGUCUUCGAACUUACUUUUGUUUCAAAAGUUUACCAAAAUCUUGUUAAAUACUCCCCUCUUUUUCCAUUGGGAAUUUUACAGAAAUGGCUUAAACUUACUUUCCUUCAUGCUGGACCAUUUUUUUUUCCAAGGGAGCAGUUUAAAACUUUUUAGACACUCUUGACUCUGAGUCACAUGUUUAAGCGGAGUUGAACACAUCUUUUUAAAUAGUGAAUACACAUGAUUGUAUGAAGUCACAUAUUUUUUAAUAUUAAAUUAAUGUAUUUUCUGAGUACAGAAUGCAAAGUUCCCUAUCUAUGGUCCUACUGCUUUAUCUUUUUUCCCUCCUGCUUACCACACUUAUUUGCUACUUCUUUAAAUAACUGUCACAUUUCUUAAAGUUCUCUUGACCCAAACGACAUCUCAAAACCAAUAUUCUAAACAUUUUGAUCUCUCCAUUUUCUUAUUUUUCUCCAAUAUUUGACAAAAGCUGUCUUUUAAAUAAAUACUGAGUGUAUGUGAAAUGAAGGUAGAAAAGAAGUAUGGUAUCACAAAAAAAAAAGAAAAUUUACAAUUAAGUUCCAAUCUAGGGUUUUCUAUCUAACUAUCAUACUGUGACAUAAAAACAUAUAUAAUCAAGUGAAUUUCCGAAGGCCCAAUGUAUUCCUGAAACAAGCUGCGGAAGACCCAGAAUAGUAGAAUACCCCAUGUUCUCAUGGUUUGUAAAUUUCCUCCACAAAAUGAUAUGAGGAAAGCUGAACAAAUUUGAUAAAAACUCGGUGAACUUCUGCUUAAAUAAAUUUGAAACAAAGCAAUAUUUUAGUGCAUAAUGGCUAGAAACUGAACAGGCAUGCCUUGUGCCGUUGGUAACUGGAUCCACAAAUUGCAGUUAGAACAUGUGACUCAGGAGAUUGUGAGAUCAGUGCACUUUCAUCAUGGAUAUCUCCAGGUAAACCUCAAGAUAGCAAAAUUCAGAAUAUAAACAAGUACCUGAAAAGUAUCCUCAGAUGAAACAUUCUUCAUAAAUUCAGCUGUCUCAUGCUCCGGAAUAGAAUCCAGCACAACCUUCAUCUGAUGUUUUUUCCGACAAGCUAGCUGAAGAGUCUUGGUUAGGAUGAUGGGACUACCCGAGAAACAACCAGCAACAUAUACCUCAAUGGUUGGCAAACUCCUCUCUGAACUCAUGGAAGGUUUGCCCUUCAGAAAGCCCAUCACAGGCUGGCAAUUCAUGUUCCAUUUCUUUCUGGUGUUCCUUGAUUCUGCCGUAAAACCAUUACCACCACACAAUUCCAAGACUCCGGCAAGAAGCAGAGCAUCUCCAUUGUAGACCUCAAAUCUGACACUUCCAGUCAUCCUUAUACUAUCUGUGCUCACAAAUGUCACUUCUUCCGAUCUCUUAUCAACCCUGUCCCUCCUAAGCAAAGAAGAAGCGCAGCCGGAAUAAAUGCCACUUCUCUGACCAUUUACUUCGAGGAUGGUGUUGGGAGUCAGGGGGACGUGAUUAAGAGUAAGAUGAUCAGGAGUUGAUUCAUGGACCUCACAAUUGCCCACUCUCACGUAGAAAACCCUCAGAUCAAACCAAGGUGAUGACUUAGGAAGGUGGAGGGAGUGCAAGAUGGUCUUCCGACCAGGAUUAGAUGAAUCGACCUUGGUGAUUGGAUCGUAACAGCUCUCCAUAAUCGGAGAGCGAUCCUCUCAGCAAAAUCUUUUCACAUCAGUGUUGACUAUGAGAAGAGAGAUUUACCAACAAAACGAACUCAUGGAAUUCAAAGUUCCACGUCUGCAAAGCAAACCGAUAGCUAAUCAUUUGCACCAAGCAAUCACAGCAGAAUUGGAACGACAACUAAAAAAUAUUGUAAACUGAAGCAUCACAUAACGUAAAGCCAUUCAUUAGAAAACAAGCCAUCAUCAAUUCAUCAUCAAUAAGACAGACAACACUGUUAAUUUCUUCAAUACAUAACAUGCAUUAAAUAAGCACAAUUCAAAGCAGCAGAAACAAGAUAAAGUUAAUGAAAAAGGAUUGCCUUUAGCAACUCUAUACAGUUUUUUUAAAAAAAAGCAAAAUUGAGCAGAAUACUUCAGAAAAUUGAAACAAAAAACUACGCAACAGAAACUGAUCAAAGAUUAUGUAAAAAGAGGCCUCUUUUCUUCUUUGUUCUUUUCAAAAUGCAAUUGUUAAGUCCAAGGAAUCACCAAAAACUUCUAAUUCUGAUGGGGAGGCAUUCCUCCAACCCGGGUGACACAACUUGGAGGAAGACUUCGUUUUCCGCUAAAGAAGAAACAAACUCCCAGAAGAUCAUAGAAGAAAACAGUAAACAAAAGAAUAAGUACAAC